rnacentral:rRNA from 1 species
GAUCCUGGCUCAGGACGAACGCUGGCGGCGUGCCUAAUACAUGCAAGUCGAGCGGACAGAUGGGAGCUUGCUCCCUGAUGUUAGCGGCGGACGGGUGAGUAACACGUGGGUAACCUGCCUGUAAGACUGGGAUAACUCCGGGAAACCGGGGCUAAUACCGGAUGGUUGUUUGAACCGCAUGGUUCAAACAUAAAAGGUGGCUUCGGCUACCACUUACAGAUGGACCCGCGGCGCAUUAGCUAGUUGGUGAGGUAACGGCUCACCAAGGCAACGAUGCGUAGCCGACCUGAGAGGGUGAUCGGCCACACUGGGACUGAGACACGGCCCAGACUCCUACGGGAGGCAGCAGUAGGGAAUCUUCCGCAAUGGACGAAAGUCUGACGGAGCAACGCCGCGUGAGUGAUGAAGGUUUUCGGAUCGUAAAGCUCUGUUGUUAGGGAAGAACAAGUACCGUUCGAAUAGGGCGGUACCUUGACGGUACCUAACCAGAAAGCCACGGCUAACUACGUGCCAGCAGCCGCGGUAAUACGUAGGUGGCAAGCGUUGUCCGGAAUUAUUGGGCGUAAAGGGCUCGCAGGCGGUUUCUUAAGUCUGAUGUGAAAGCCCCCGGCUCAACCGGGGAGGGUCAUUGGAAACUGGGGAACUUGAGUGCAGAAGAGGAGAGUGGAAUUCCACGUGUAGCGGUGAAAUGCGUAGAGAUGUGGAGGAACACCAGUGGCGAAGGCGACUCUCUGGUCUGUAACUGACGCUGAGGAGCGAAAGCGUGGGGAGCGAACAGGAUUAGAUACCCUGGUAGUCCACGCCGUAAACGAUGAGUGCUAAGUGUUAGGGGGUUUCCGCCCCUUAGUGCUGCAGCUAACGCAUUAAGCACUCCGCCUGGGGAGUACGGUCGCAAGACUGAAACUC